rnacentral:rRNA from 1 species
UAGGGAAUCUUCCGCAAUGGGCGAAAGCCUGACGGAGCAACGCCGCGUGAGUGAUGAAGGUCUUCGGAUCGUAAAACUCUGUUAUUAGGGAAGAACAAAUGUGUAAGUAACUAUGCACGUCUUGACGGUACCUAAUCAGAAAGCCACGGCUAACUACGUGCCAGCAGCCGCGGUAAUACGUAGGUUGCAAGCGUUAUCCGGAAUUAUUGGGCGUAAAGCGCGCGUAGGCGGUUUUUUAAGUAUGAUGUGAAAGCCCACGGCUCAACCGUGGAGGGUCAUUGGAAACUGGAAAACUUGAGUGCAGAAGAGGAAAGUGGAAUUCCAUGUGUAGCGGUGAAAUGCGCAGAGAUAUGGAGGAACACCAGUGGCGAAGGCGACUUUCUGGUCUGUAACUGACGCUGAUGUGCGAAAGCGUGGGGAUCAAACAGG